GCGAGAGUAGUCUAGUGGUCAUGAUGUCUGCUUUACAUUUACUCAAAUGUUGAGCGCAGAAGGUCGGGAGUUCGAUCCUCCCCUCUCGUA
rnacentral:tRNA from 1 species